rnacentral:rRNA from 1 species
UACGUAGGGGGCGAGCGUUGUCCGGAUUUAUUGGGCGUAAAGAGCUCGUAGGCGGUUGGGCAAGUCACGUGUGAAAUCUCCACGCUCAACGUGGAGGCGCCACGUGAGACUGCCCUGACUGGAGUCCGGUAGGGGAGCGUGGAAUUCCCGGUGUAGCGGUGAAAUGCGCAGAGAUCGGGAGGAACACCAGUGGCGAAGGCGGCUCACUGGUCCGGUACUGACGCUGAGGUGCGAAAGCGUGGGGAGCAAACAGG